GAAGCUGGCUGCCCUGGCCCUGGAACAUAACACACUUGUCCAGCCAUCCGAAAGAGUGGAGUCAGUGGAGUUAAUCUUCCAGCCGGAAUACAUAUUCCCCUGGCAAGUUCCAACAUCUGAUAUGGACAUUCUCACAAAAAAGGUCUUUGAGAAGGUCAUGGGUAUCCGGAGGCUGGAGGAGGAAGAAGUGGUCCUCGUCAAAGAGAUGAAGCAGCACUGGGAAUACCUGAAGCGACGUGCUGAGGUCUUGGAGCAGUCAAUCUCUGGUGACUGUUGGAACCUGUCACCAAAAGGGAGGAAGGGACUCCAAAGUUUGCCCCAGAGGAA